ACCGGGUGGAGGCGCUUCGGGCGGUGGUGGAGGAGGCGGGGAGGGAGGUUGUGGAGGAGCUGGUGAACAGGAGGGAUGGUGAUGGGAACACGGCUCUGCACAUCGCCGUGGCCAGGAAGCAAGUUGAGAUGAUAAAGUUCUUGCUUACAAUCCCAGGACUUGAAGUGAACACGCCAAACUCAAGUGGCCUGACAGCACUAGACAUUCUUGAGCAGAGUCCCAGAGGCUUGAGAGACCUUGAAAUUGAGACCGCCCUUAAAAGCUCAGGAGCUUCACUCUCCAGAGACAUCCAGUCAGUCCCAUAUCACUAUGAUCCAAUUCUUGACGCACCAAGAAUGACCUCCCCCAUCACCACCUCAAGAUCACCUAAAAACUCCCCAUCACUCUCCACCAAGAAAGCCCCAUCAAAGAAAUGGAGAAGUUUAAGGAAACCCCUGUCAAAGAAACUGAGUGCUCUAAAAAGGCCCCCGGUGGAAGCCGAUUGGCUGAGCCAGAAGAGAAAUUCGCUCAUGGUGGUUGCUUCACUGCUAGCGACGGUGGCGUUCCAAGCUGCAACCACUCCACCGGGAGGUGUCUGGCAGGACGACUACAAGGUCGAUGCCUAUGGCAACCCGGUGAAGGAGCCGCACAUGGCAGGCACCUCCAUCAUGGCCCACAUCCAGCGGAUCGCCUAUGGGCAGUUCAUGAUCUUCAACACACUGGCCUUCCUGUCCUCCCUCAGCAUCAUCCUGCUCCUCUUGAGUGGGCUCCCGAUAAAGCGGCGACGCUGGAUGUGGACCCAGAUGGUGAUCAUGUGGCUGGCGAUCACGGGGCAGGCGAUCACCUACUUCAUAGCGCUGCGCAACAUGUCGCCGGCUGACACACGGGGGAUGCUGAAGGACGUGACGGAUGUGUCGGUGGUGUGCUGGCUGUGCCUGAUGGGAAUUGUAUUCAUGGGGAAUGUGGUGAGGCUAUGUGUGUGGGUGCUGAGGAAGUGGGGUUACUUGAAGAAGAAAGAGAACAAGGAUUCAGAUGAAGAUGAUGAAGACAAGUACGGGGAAGUAUGACAGCCUGUGUGACAAUCGAGUAAAUUGAGUGGUCUUUGUUCUAUGAUGGUGGCGGCAUGUUCAAUAUGUGUAAAAUUUGUGAUUUUGAUGAGCGGGUUGAUGAUGGGUUUUGAGGUACUCUGUUUUCUUCUAGUUCUGUUUGAGAACAGAGUAUUGGUCCUAAAGAGAGGGUAAGAUGGAUUCUGCUAGAGAAAUCUUUGGAUGGUAAAAGAUUAAAGACUAAUAUGGUGCUCAGAGCAAAAGUGCAUCAUCUCCCUCUGUAAUUUGUACAAAAUCAGGACAAUACGCGGUAUAGUUGCUGCAAUUUCUUCUCUAUUCAAUGUUGAACAUGACUGUUAGACGAAGAGAGCUUCAGCCAGUUCGGCCAGUUCUGCUCAGGAACAGCUCAGUCCUCAGCUCGGCCAUCUUUGCUCAGCAUGGAAGUACUCUGGACUUGGGUUCUCAAUUGAGACUUAGGGUGUCUAGAAGUAAAUUGGUUUUCUAUUUCCUUCCCUUCCUAGCUGCUGUUAAACAUCUAUCUUGCCAGACGCUUCUGCUAUAGAGGGAUCAACUAAGCUGCCAUCUCAAGCCUCUGUUGCACGAGACAACCUCAUGCAGGACUAUUACAUCGAGGUGGUCUGCCUUCAACACCAGCAUCAUAUAAAACUCGGACUGAGUAUUUGCUAUCCAGUUGUCUGACGGAUUAGUUGCUCGACUGACCCAAGUCCACAGGACAUCUUCAAAGUUUGAAGCUUUCUGUCCUGCUAUUGUUGUCGGUUAUAGAAAUCCUAUCGGGUCGCUAUCUUUGAUCUUUUAUUAGAUCUACAAGCUCUAAAUAGUUCGUGCCAAUA